AGGAAGGUGGUGUCGUUAAUAGCGGCAUCAUUUGACGUUUAGCAACAGAAGAAGCACCGGCUAACUCCGUGCCAGCAGCCGCGGUAAUACGGAGGGUGCGAGCGUUAAUCGGAAUUACUGGGCGUAAAGCGCAUGCAGGUGGUUUGUUAAGUCAGAUGUGAAAGCCCGGGGCUCAACCUCGGAACUGCAUUUGAAACUGGCAGACUAGAGUACUGUAGAGGGGGUAGAAUUUCAGGUGUAGCGGUGAAAUGCGUAGAGAUCUGAAGGAAUACCGGUGGCGAAGGCGGCCCCCUGGACAGAUACUGACACUCAGAUGCGAAAGCGUGGGGAGCAAACAGGAUUAGAUACCCUGUAG
rnacentral:rRNA from 1 species